CGAGCGAGACCCACGCCAACAGUUGCCAGCUCGUCCUCCGGGGAUGGUGGGGACACUGUUGGGACCGCCUCUGCUAAAGAGGAGGAAGGAAUGGGCAACGGUAGGUCAGCAUGCCCCGAAUUAUCUGGGCUACACGCGGGCUACAAUGGGUGGGACAAUGGGUAUCGACACCGAAAGGUGAGGGCAAUCUCCUAAACCCAUCCGUAGUUCGGAUUGUGGGCUGCAACUCGCCCACAUGAAGCUGGAAUCUGUAGUAAUCGUGUCUCAAAAUGGCACGGCGAAUAUGUCCCUGCUCCUU
rnacentral:rRNA from 1 species